CUGGUUGAUCCUGCCAGUAGUCAUAUGCUUGUCUCAAAGAUUAAGCCAUGCAUGUCUAANNGCACGCCUCAAUACGGUGAANNNGCGAAUGGCUCAUUAAAUCAGCUAUGGUUUAUUGGAUCGAUCCCGUUAAAUGGAUAACUGUAAUAACUCUAGAGCUAAUACAUGCCACGAUGCCCUGACCUGUGCACAACACAGGGAUGGGUCGCAUUAUUAGAUCAGAAACCAACCGAGUUCCGGCUGCCUUAACCGGUGGUCGGUCUUGUUGUCGUUCUGGUGACUCUGGAUAAUUGUUACAGAUCGCAGUCGGCCUUGCGUCGGCNACGGGUCCUUCAAAUGUCUGCCCUAUCAACUUUCGAUNGUAGGUNAUCUGCCUNCCAUGGANAUNACGGGUNACGGGGAAUCAGGGUUCNAUUCCGGAGAGGGAGCCUGAGAAACGGCUACCACUUCCAAGGGAGGCAGCAGGCGCGCAAAUUACCCACUCCCGGUACGGGGAGGUGGUGACGAAAAAUACCGAUGCGGGACUCUUCAAGAGGCUCCGUAAUCGGAAUGAGUGAACUCUAAAUCCUUUCACGAGGAUCAAUUGGAGGGCAAGUCUGGUGCCAGCAGCCGCGGUAACUCCAGCUCCAAUAGCGUAUAUUAAAGUUGCUGCAGUUAAAAAGCUCGUAGUUGGAUCUCGGUAUCACUGUUGCCUGCCAUUGCUUGGCCAGCUGAGUGUUUGGGUGAUGCGGCUGCGUGCCGUGUUGCCUUGGCACUUGACUGUUGUCGAGUUGGUUUGGUAGCGGUGCCACCUUUUAGCCAUGUCUGUGGUGAAAUACCCACAGGUGUAGGCAAGCNUCAGGCGGUGCUCUGCAGCUGUAGGGUCCGUCGGCUCGUCUGCAUGCCUUUGGAUGCCCUUCAAAAGGUGUCUGUGGGCGGAUGGCACGUUUACUUUGAACAAAUUUGAGUGCUCAAACCAGGCCGCUGUAGCCUGAAAAGUUUUGCAUGGAAUAAUGGAAUAGGACUUCGGUUCUGUUUCGGAUCCGAAGUAAUGAUCAAAAGAGACAGGCGGGGACGUUUGUAUGGUUGCGCUAGAGGUGAAAUUCAUGGACCGUAACCAGACAGACUAAAGCGAAANAUUCGUCAAGCAUGUUUUCAUUGGCCAUGAGCGAAAGUCAGAGGCUCGAAGACGAUCAGAUACCGUCCUAGUUCUGACCAUAAACGAUGCCAACUGACGAUCCGUGGUGGUAGUUUUAAAACCGUCCUCACGGGCGAUCCCCGGGAAACCUUUAAGUCUUUGGGUUCCGGGGGAAGUAUGGUUGCAAAGCUGAAACUUAAAGGAAUUGACGGAAGGGCACCACCAGGAGUGGNGUGCGGCUUAAUUUGACUCAACACGGGAAAACUCACCGGCCGGACACUGUGAGGAUUGACAGAUUGACAGCUCUUUCUUGAUUUGGUGGUUGGUGGUGCAUGGCCGUUCUUAGUUGGUGGAGCGAUUUGUCUGGUUAAUUCCGAUAACGAACGAGACUCUAGCCUGCUAAUUAGUGCGCCUGUCCUCUGUUCCUGUGUAGGCGGCUUUCGGCGCUACUGCCUUUCUACUACGAGGCCGUUCGUGCUGUUGCUCAUGGUCACUGUCUGUUUGAUCAGCAGUGUUGUCUUUGUGCUGGUUCGCCGGUGCACUGAUGGCGGCUGGUCUGGAUAGUUGGCUUGGGUUGACUGGUGCGGCGGCUAAGUUUAGACGAUAGAGUCAGGGUUUGCUUCCGGGUACGGCGCAGGUGCCUACUUCUUAGAGGACAAGCAUAGACAAAUGCACGAGAUUGAGCAAUAACAGGUCUGUGAUGCCCUUAGAUGUCCGGGGCCGCACGCGCGCUACAAUGACGGUGCCAACGAGUCUGACCUCCUGGCCCGAAAGGGUUGGGCAAACUGGUCAAUCACCGUCAUGUCAGGGAUCGGGGCUUGGAAUUGUUCCCCGUGAACCAGGAAUUCCUAGUAAGUGCAAGUCAUAAGCUUGCGCUGAUUACGUCCCUGCCCUUUGUACACACCGCCCGUCGCUACUACCGAUUGAAUGGUUUAGUAAGGUCCUUGGAUCGGUGCCAUUGUAGUGGCUCCCGCAAGGGAUUGGUUCACUGANAGGCGNUGAGAAGACGACCAAACUUGAUNAUUUAGAGGANGUAAAAGUNGNAACAAGG
rnacentral:rRNA from 1 species